UUUGGAAGAGCCUGCGAGAGGUAGCUGUAGAAUCUGUCAGGUCCGAAAGGAAGCAGCAGGGGCAGUCAACUUUGUGCAGGCUCUUUCUUGUUA
rnacentral:SRP_RNA from 2 species